GGGUAUAGCUCAGUGGUGGAGUGUGUGCUUAGCAUGCACAAAGUUCUGGGUUCAAUCCCCAGUACCUCCA
rnacentral:tRNA from 1 species